rnacentral:piRNA from 1 species
UAAACUUGAUUGGCUCUGAACCGCGA